AACGAACGCUGGCGGCAUGCCUGACACAUGCAAGUCGAACGAGACCUUCGGGUCUAGUGGCGCACGGGUGCGUAACGCGUGGGAACCUGCCCUUAGGUUCGGAAUAACUCCCCGAAAGGGGUGCUAAUACCGGAUAAUGUCUUCGAACCAAAGAUUUAUCGCCUUUGGAUGGGCCCGCGUUGGAUUAGCUAGUUGGUAGGGUAAAAGCCUACCAAGGCGACGAUCCAUAGCUGGUCUGAGAGGAUGAUCAGCCACACUGGGACUGAGACACGGCCCAGACUCCUACGGGAGGCAGCAGUGGGGAAUAUUGGACAAUGGGCGAAAGCCUGAUCCAGCAAUGCCGCGUGAGUGAUGAAGGCCUUAGGGUUGUAAAGCUCUUUUACCCGGGAUGAUAAUGACAGUACCGGGAGAAUAAGCUCCGGCUAACUCCGUG
rnacentral:rRNA from 1 species